AGUUAAAAAUUUUAUAGAAAAUAUAUGUUUUGAAAGCAUAAGAAAGAAGUUCAAGUCUUCUAUUAACUU
rnacentral:tRNA from 1 species